AACGAACGCUGGCGGCGCGCCUAACACAUGCAAGUCGAACGAGAAGCCGUAGCAAUACGGUUGUAAAGUGGCAAACGGGUGAGCAAUACAUGGGUAACCUACCCUGAGGUGGGGAAUAACCUCCCGAAAGGGAAGCUAAUGCCGACGAUACCCACCAGUCUCAUAAGAGGUUGUUGGAAAGCCGAGCCGAGGGUUCGGCGCCUCAGGAUGGGCUCAUGUCCUAUCAGCUUGUUGGCGGGGUAAUGGCCCACCAAGGCUGCGACGGGUAGCUGGUCUGAGAGGACGACCAGCCACACUGGCACUGCGACACGGGCCAGACUCCUACGGGAGGCAGCAGUGAGGAAUAUUGCGCAAUGGACGACAGUCUGACGCAGCGACGCCGCGUGGGGGAUGAAGGCCUUCGGGUUGUAAACCCCUUUCAGGAGGGAAGAUGGGACGGGCAACCGUUCGGACGGUACCUCCAGAAGCAGCCACGGCUAACUCUGUGCCAGCAGCCGCGGUAAGACAGAGGUGGCAAGCGUUGUUCGGAUUUACUGGGCGUAAAGGGUGCGUAGGUGGUUAGGUAAGACCUGCGGGAAAGACCUGGGCUUAACCCAGGAAGGUCGCAGGUGACUGCCCAGCUAGAGGACGGGAGAGGAGCGCGGAAUUCCCGGUGUAGCGGUGAAAUGCGUAGAGAUCGGGAGGAAGGCCGGUGGCGAAGGCGGCGCUCUGGAACGUUCCUGACACUGAGGCACGAAAGCGUGGGGAGCAAACAGGAUUAGAUACCCUGGUAGUCCACGCCCUAAACGAUGGGUACUAAGUGUCGGCGGGUUACCGCCGGUGCCGCACCUAACGGAGUAAGUACCCCGCCUGGGGAGUACGGCCGCAAGGUUGAAACUCAAAGGAAUUGACGGGGGGCCCCCCAAGCGGUGGUGCAUGUGGUU
rnacentral:rRNA from 1 species